CAUCUAUACGGUGAAACUGCGAAUGGCUCAUUAAAUCAGUUAUCGUUUAUUUGAUAGUACCUUACUACUUGGAUAACCGUGGUAAUUCUAGAGCUAAUACAUGCUAAAAACCCCGACUUCGGAAGGGGUGUAUUUAUUAGAUAAAAAACCAAUGCCCUUCGGGGCUCCUUGGUGAUUCAUAAUAACUUAACGAAUCGCAUGGCCUUGUGCCGGCGAUGGUUCAUUCAAAUUUCUGCCCUAUCAACUUUCGAUUGUAAGGUAUUGGCUUACAAUGGUUUCAACGGGUAACGGGGAAUUAGGGUUCUAUUCCGGAGAAGGAGCCUGAGAAACGGCUACUACAUCCAAGGAAGGCAGCAGGCGCGCAAAUUACCCAAUCCCGACACGGGGAGGUAGUGACAAUAAAUACUGAUACAGGGCUCUUUUGGGUCUUGUAAUUGGAAUGAGUACAAUUUAAAUCCCUUAACGAGGAACAAUUGGAGGGCAAGUCUGGUGCCAGCAGCCGCGGUAAUUCCAGCUCCAAUAGCGUAUAUUAAAGUUGUUGCAGUUAAAAAGCUCGUAGUUGAACCUUGGGCCUGGCUGGCCGGUCCGCCUCACCGCGUGCACUGGUCCGGCCGGGUCUUUCCUUCUGGGGAGCCGCAUGCCCUUCACUGGGUGUGUCGGGGAACCAGGACUUUUACUUUGAAAAAAUUAGAGUGUUCAAAGCAGGCCUAUGCUCGAAUACAUUAGCAUGGAAUAAUAGAAUAGGACGUGUGGUUCUAUUUUUGUUGGUUUCUAGGACCGCCGUAAUGAUUAAUAGGGRAUAGUCGGGGGCGUCAGUAUUCAAUUGUCAGAGGUGAAAUUCUUGGAAUUUAUUGAAGACUAACUACUGCGAAAGCAUUCGCCAAGGAUGUUUUCAUUAAUCAGUGAACGAAAGUUAGGGGAUCGAAGACGAUCAGAUACCGUCGUAGUCUUAACCAUAAACUAUGCCGACUAGGGAUCGGGCGAUGUUAUCUUUUUGACUCGCUCGGCACCUUACGAGAAAUCAA
rnacentral:rRNA from 1 species